GCCAGCAGCCAUAUCACCCUGCAACUCACAACUGGCAGCCCACUGAAGCUCAGCAGGUGUGAGCCUGGUCAGUACCUGGAUGGGAGACCUCCUGGGAAAGGCUGCUGCUGGAA
rnacentral:rRNA from 1 species